UCCCAAUAAACUACUUUGAGCAAGACUCCC
rnacentral:piRNA from 2 species